rnacentral:rRNA from 1 species
AGAGUUUGAUCCUGGCUCAGGACGAACGCUGGCGGCGUGCCUAACACAUGCAAGUCGAACGGGACUAACAACGACACCGGAGAUCCAGUUGGCCGGUGGGGACACGGGCCGGGUGAAUGGCCGGUGUUGGGCUUAGUUCAGUGGCGGACGGGUGAGUAACGCGUGAGGAACCUGCCUUUCAGAGCGGGAUAGCGUCUGGAAACGGACGGUAAUACCGCAUGACAUUCCGGAGCCGCAUGGUUUUGGGAUCAAAGGAGCAAUCCGCUGGAAGAUGGACUCGCGUCCGAUUAGCCAGUUGGCGGGGUAAUGGCCCACCAAAGCAACGAUCGGUAGCCGGACUGAGAGGUUGAACGGCCACAUUGGGACUGAGACACGGCCCAGACUCCUACGGGAGGCAGCAGUGGGGGAUAUUGCACAAUGGAGGAAACUCUGAUGCAGCAACGCCGCGUGAGGGAAGACGGUCUUCGGAUUGUAAACCUAUGUCCUCGGUGACGAUAAUGACGGUAGCCGAGGAGGAAGCUCCGGCUAACUACGUGCCAGCAGCCGCGGUAAUACGUAGGGAGCGAGCGUUGUCCGGAUUUACUGGGUGUAAAGGGUGCGUAGGCGGCUUUUUAAGUCAGGUGUGAAAACCGUGGGCUUAACUCACGGAUUGCAUUUGAAACUGAGGGGCUUGAGUGGAGCAGAGGCAGGCGGAAUUCCCGGUGUAGCGGUGAAUGCGUAGAGAUCGGGAGGAACACCAGUGGCGAAGGCGGCCUGCUGGGCUUUAACUGACGCUGAGGCACGAAAGCAUGGGGUAGCAAAACAGGAUUAAGAUACCC